rnacentral:snoRNA from 14 species
UGCCAUAAUGAGACUGUGUUGUGAACCAAGGAUUAUGAUUAAUCCAGUUCUGUACACCUGAGGUCCAAA